rnacentral:tRNA from 1 species
UGGGGAAUAGCAUAAAGGCUAAUGCGUCCGGCUCUGACCCGGAUUAUGGGUGUUCGAUUCACUCUUCCCCAGCCA